GCCGCAACGGCGCAGUCGCCUGCUGCUGAUCAGGCGUGCGCGACAACGUUUGGGAACAGUGCCGGCACCAGUCACUGGUGCCCGGGCUCGUGCACGACAUGGCGGAACCAGUCCUACUCCGAGGCAUACGGCGGGGGAUCAGACGUUACAGGGACUUUAAUUUAUGACGGGAGCUCCCCGGUGUGUCUGGCCGCCCUCCACGCCGGCGUCUUGCGGGCCGGGGAGGACAAGGCGGUCGCCUUCACAUCUGCGACGGCCACCGACAGCUUCGUGGGCACAAUCCGUAAUCGCGUUGUGU
rnacentral:lncRNA from 1 species